AGACUCCUUCCAGAAAUGUAACAUGAUUUACAGAGAACAUUUCAUCACCGCUACGGGGUUUCAAAGCCGUUUACAGGGAGUGGAUGAAGCCACGUGAGACAGUUGUUACUAUAGAAACGAUAUGGUGUAAGUAUGAAAAAUUGAUUCUGCUCAAAACUAUUUCUUUAUUUACAGGGUAUCAGAUCAUGGGGGCUUCCGCGUAUCAGGAGAGUUGAGUUUAGGGGCUCCUUCCAUUUUGAAAUUUUGCCUUCACUUAAACUAGUGUGGAGUGGAAGAUCUCCCGCAAUAGAGCUCUGAACCCUCAACCGUACUGAAAUGAAGAAUGUGAACGCUGACUGCACCCCAGACCUCCUCACAUUCUCACAUCUAUCAGUACCUGACUUUACUAACACCAUUGUAGCUAAAUGAGCAGAAAUCUCCACAAAAUCUAGAGGAACAUCUUCCCAGAAGGGUGGAGCUCAUAAUAACAGCAAAUGGAGACUCAAUGUGGAUGUUCAAAAAUUGUCACCUCAGAAGAGCAGGUUGUGAUGUAAUAUAUCAAAGAUGUGUAGUUAUUAUCUUAUCAUACAUCAUCGCCCAGCCCAAGGAAAAAAAAUCCUGAUAUCAAGACAUUUCCCACACGACCAUCCCUUCCAGAGCAUCAGAACAUGGGUUUCAGCCAAUCAGGAGAAAGCAAGCCAGGAGUUUAGCUCAUCCUACUCUUGCUGAUGAUGUCAUAGGUCACAAGGAGGUGGCUAGAUGAUUGGAUUAGUGUGAUUGGAUAUUUAUGGGUGUGGCUCUCUGGGCGUUGUAUACUACAUACUACAAGGCUGCACCAUGAAGAAUCCUAAAAACAGCACGUGGAUUGAGAACAUCUCAGGUCUUCUAAUAGCAGGACACACCCUUUAAUUCCAGUCUCAACCACUAGAGGGUAGAAAAGAGCCCGUCUGAAAAGGGAAAGCUGCUGAAGAAAUGACUGGCUUUUAUUAUUUUAAUACAAAAUGUAAGAGUUUCGGCUCCAAAACAUC